rnacentral:lncRNA from 1 species
CAUUCCCCCAGCCUGAAUAUUGCAUAUUGGACCAGUGUCCUGUGCCACCGCCAUGGUUUGUCUGAGAUAGUUGGGUGGUGUUAGCUCUCCUAAUGAUGGAUGAUGUAUCAGACAUUCGAGGCCUUUGGAGGAAUCAAAUCCUCAUGGCAGUGAGGCCAUCCAAGCUACUUUUUACUUCCCUAGAAAGCUCUUAAGAAAGUGCCUUGGCUUGAACUUUAAAACUAAGCCAGCUUUCUGGCUUCACUCUAACACUGUUAUCAAACUGGAAUCUUUAAGGGAGGCAUUGCAGAAAGGAGAGGGAAUUGGGUUUCUUUUGCUCAGAAAGCAAAGCUUCCCUUGAGUUUAACAUACUGUUUCUCUAAGUCCUUGGCCCACUAAGAUCUGGUUCUGUUAAAGCUUUGGGAAGGAAGAAAGAGGAACAAAGAUGUAGCAGUGGAAAAAGAGCAUCUCACAGGGCCCUAACUGGGGCCAGCUGUCUUUAGGUAGGCAGGAAGCACAGUGGCCCCACAGAGAUGAGGGGACCAAUAUCCUAACCACACCACAAGCAAACUGACACCAUGGCAACAGUAAUAACAAUGGGCCAGCUCCCAGGGAGCCCUGGCCAAAUUCUCUUAUGCUGGACAGCUGGAGCUACAAGCUGGACAGAGCACACAGCAGUUGCAGUACAGACAGUCUGUUAACUUGUUUUCUAAGAAGCUAUUUUAUUACUGCAUGUUCCCACCGUCUGUAAAUCUGUCCCAGCCGUGCUGCAGUCACAGUACUGGAACUAGAGCACUGCGGAUGUGAUCAUGUCCCACAGGCAUUGUGCGCAAAAGCUUAGAAUAAAUGCCAAAUAAAUAAUAUGAGGAGUGUACUUUUUAAGAUAUUAAUUUAUUUGAGUUCAGAUAUUUUUAAAAUAUAAAAACUGGUUGUAUUUUUUAAAAAUAUAAUUCUUGUAGACAUUCUGUGGGUAAAAAUUUGAUUGUCCAUAUUAAAAAGUUACUGAUGGUUUGCAAUUCAGCAAUGUACAAAUAAAGACUCUUUCAGAAGGUG